rnacentral:rRNA from 1 species
AUUGAACGCUGGCGGCAGGCCUAACACAUGCAAGUCGAGCGGUUACAGAAAGAAAGCUUGCUUUCUUUGCUGACGAGCGGCGGACGGGUGAGUAAUGCCUGGGAAUAUGCCUUAGUGUGGGGGAUAACUAUUGGAAACGAUAGCUAAUACCGCAUAACGUCUUUGUUCAUUACGAGCGGGACCAAAGAGGGGGACCUUCGGGCCUCUCGCGCUAACACCUCAUAUGCCUUUAAGUCAUAAGACUGCAAGGGAAACAUUUAUGGCUCUAGGAUGGGACUGUACGGUAUCAGUUAGUUGGUGAGGUAAUGGCUCACCAAGACAAUGACACCUAACUGGUUUGAGAGGAUGAUCAGUCACACUGGAACUGAGACACGGUCCAG